rnacentral:rRNA from 1 species
AUUGAACGCUGGCGGCAGGCCUAACACAUGCAAGUCGAGCGAGCGGCGGACGGGUGAGUAAUGUCUGGGAAACUGCCUGAUGGAGGGGGAUAACUACUGGAAACGGUAGCUAAUACCCCAUACCAUCAGCUGUGCCCAUAUGGGAUUAGCUAGUAGGUGUGGUAAUGGCUCACCUAGGCGACGAUCCCUAGCUGGUCUGAGAGGAUGACCAGCCACACUGGAACUGAGACACGGUCCAGACUCCUACGGGAGGCAGCAGUGGGGAAUAUUGCACAAUGGGCGCAAGCCUGAUGCAGCCAUGCCGCGUGUGUGAAGAAGGCCUUCGGGUUGUAAAGUACUUUCAUCGAGGAGGCGUUACUCGCAGAAGAAGCACCGGCUAACUCCGUGCCAGCAACCGCGGUAAUAC